rnacentral:rRNA from 1 species
UACGUAGGCAGCGAGCGUUGUUCGGAGUUACUGGGCGUAAAGAGCUCGUAGGUGGUUCGGUAAGUCGGAUGUGAAAUCUCCAGGCUCAACCUGGAGGGGUCAUUCGAUACUGCCGUGACUAGAGGUCGGUAGGGGAGUGUGGAAUUCUUGGUGGAGCGGUGAAAUGCGCAGAUAUCAGGAGGAACACCCGUAGCGAAGGCGGCACUCUGGGCCGAUACUGACACUGAGGAGCGAAAGCGUGGGGAGCGAACAGG